CUGGUUGGAAGCUUGAGAAGCAGGUCUUUGUGCCUUUUUGAGCUGAACUUGCACUCUUGGAAGCUGGUUUGGAAGCUGCUCUAACCAAGGCAAGAUCGCGAUCGAGCCUUGGAUCGUCUUCGACUGACUUGUGAGGACUCUUGGAGGUUACACUUGAGCAGGAUUGGAGCCUUGUGGAGCUGAUCCUUGGGACUCCUUUGGACUGUUUGGAGCCUUGAACUAGCUUAAGAUGCCGUUGACUCGUUCGCAAGCCGCCGGGGCAGCUGAGGCGGCGGAUGCAGAGGAAGUGGGGACUUCUGUUACUUCGGGAUCUAGUGGGAUCCAUGAGUUGCAGGAUCAGCUCGCGAAGCUGACAGAUUUGGUUGCUUAGCAGGCUGCGGCCGCGCGACAGCAGAUGGAUGCCGCGCGUCGGCAGGAGGACAGGAUGAAGAGGUUGGAGGAUCUGUUACUGCGGCAGACGACCGACAGAGAGAUUCCAGAUUCUGUACCUAUAGCACCAGAGAGGGGCACCACAGUGAGAGCACAGUCACCUGUACUUGACACACCCCCAGUAGCUCCGAGGGCAGAGACCCGACAGGAGACAGUAGUA